rnacentral:rRNA from 1 species
AGAAACUAACCAGGAUUCCCCUAGUAACGGCGAGUGAAGCGGGAAGAGCUCACCUUGUGAAUCUGCGUAAGGACUUUGUUCUGCGCCGAAUUGUGCUUUUUCUUGCACUUACUAAUCUCACGAACGAAGUCUGAGUCCCUUGGAAUAGGGCGGCAUAGAGGGUGACACCCCCGUCUGGCUUUUGAGUAAAAGUGUUUGAUACGAGUCGGGUUGCUUGGGAUUGCAGCUCAAAGCGGGUGGUAUAUUCCAUCCAAAGCUAAAUAUCGGUGGGAGACCGAUAGCGAACAAGUACCGUGAGGGAAAGAUGCAAAGAACUUUGAAAAGAGAGUUAAAGAGUACCUGAAAUUGCUGAAAGGGAAGCGAUGGAUACCAGUGUUUGACUUGGUCAUAUUUCUGAUACUGCUUGCAGUGUUAGCGCUGUGAUUUUGUCUUUGUUAGCUCUGGCUGGUUUUGUGUCAUACGGCCUUUGGAUGGUUGAUCCGUUGGUUUUGUCAUGUUUCUGGCUUCAGUUGACGAAAUGGUCUUCAUUGUCCCGUCUUGAAACACGGACCAAGGAGUCCAACAUAUGUGCGAGUACAGAGUUGUCAAAAUUCCGUGCGCAAUGAAAGUAACAGUGGUGGGAUUUUUGCACCAUCCGCCGGCCAUUAGCCUUCGGGCUUUAGGUCUGAGUGUGAGCAUGUCUGUUGGGACCCGAAAGGUGGUGAACUAUUCCUGAAUAGGGCGAAGCC